rnacentral:rRNA from 1 species
GUAGGUGGCAAGCGUUGUCCGGAAUUAUUGGGCGUAAAGCGCGCGCCGGCGGUUCUUUAAGUCUGAUGUGAAAGCCCACGGGCUCAACCGUGGAGGGUCAUUGGAAACUGGAGAACUUGAGUACAGAAGAGGAAAGCGGAAUUCCACGUGUAGCGGUGAAAUGCGUAGAGAUGUGGAGGAACACCAGUGGCGAAGGCGGCUUUCUGGUCUGUAACUGACGCUGAGGCGCGAAAGCGUGGGGAGCAAACAGGAUUAGAUACCCUGGUAGUCCACGCCGUAAACGAUGAGUGCUAAGUGUUAGGGGGUUUCCGCCCCUUAGUGCUGCAGCUAACGCAUUAAGCACUCCGCCUGGGGAGUACGGCCGCAAGGCUG